rnacentral:rRNA from 1 species
CCUACGGGUGGCAGCAGUGAGGAAUAUUGGUCAAUGGCCGAGAGGCUGAACCAGCCAAGCCGCGUGCAGGAUGAAGGCUCUAUGGAUUGUAAACUUCUUUUGUCAGGGAGUAAAAUCACUCACGUGUGGGUGUUUGAGUGUAUUUGAAGAAAAAGCAUCGGCUAACUCCGUGCCAGCAGCCGCGGUAAUACGGAGGAUUCGAGCGUUAUCCGGAUUUAUUGGGUUUAAAGGGUGCGUAGGCCGGCGUUUAAGUUAGAGGUUAAAUGUCGGGGCCUAACCCCGUGCAUGCCGUUGAUACUGGUCGACUAGAGUGGGGAUGAAGUAGGCGGAAUGAGUAGUGUAGCGGUGAAAUGCUUAGAUAUUACGCAGAACACCGAUUGCGCAGGCAGCAUGCCAACCCGCAUCUGACGCUGAUGCACGAAAGCGUGGGUAGCGAACAGGAUUAGAUACCCCAGUAGUC